rfam:Anolis carolinensis chromosome 1, whole genome shotgun sequence.
UCUUUUAGGGAAUAUAAACUGAAAGGCACCAGAUCUCAUCUGAUCAUGGACGUUAAUCAAGGUCAGCUCUAAAUAGUAUUUGGAUGGGAGACCACCAACAAAUAUCAGAUACUGAAGGCU